CGUAUGCUGGGUGCCGGAGUUGUGGGCUCUUAAAGGCAACCGAAUUUUAAUUUACCGGCUAAAAAUAGAGCUUUCGGAGAGACGCUAUGAUCUACAGAAUACAGUAACUGGCCAGUUCUGAUGGUUCCGUGGGAAGGCGUGAGACAUCCAACGCUUACGAAAGGCGCGAUGUACUUAUGGAUGCAGCAACCUUUGUUUUAACCAGAACCUGAGGCCCUCUUCAUAUAUAAUGAAGAAUUCUGUGCAUCAUGCAAAAAAAAACUGGAUAAAAUCCAAGUGUUGACUGAUAUGUACCAAGUAACUUGUGCAGCACCUAAACGAAGACCAUCCAUAACAAUACAAUCUAACCACGUCUCCUUAAUAUUCAGUUCUCACCAUCAACAUCCUGGAAGGGUGCUACCAUUAGCCUAGUUCAAUUUCUGAUCCAUCACAUAAAUACCAUGGCUGGAAGAGCAUGUGAAAGGCUAGGUGUGAAACUGGUAACUCUCUUCUUAACGUCCACUUUUUAUCAACCACAAGAAAUCAUAUUUCCCUAUAUUGUUGCAGCUCAACUUCUCACAAGAAUUUACAUCAUUCAGGAGAAAGCAGACUGCUUGAUCUGACACCCACAAACAACUCAAGAUAUUAAUUCUUUUCAUCCUUACUCAAGUAGGUGAAUAUACGACAUAACAAGAUGCAUCACAGCAACUAAUCAAAAUAUUUUCAGUAUGUAAAGUGCAGCAGGCAUAAGGCUCCAAGGUCCCCUCUGAUUUUGACAUAAGUCUAGAGUUUUUGCUACAUUGUUGGGUCAAAAGCCUGGAAGUCCCUAUAGAAAUGUGGGAGUUCUUUUUCACCACAUGGACUGUAUGCCACAGUUCAAGUAGGCAACUCACCACCAUCACAUUUUCAAGAGAAGGAAGGGCAAUAAAUAUUGGUUUUGCCAGCAGUGUCCAUCACUAGAGAAUUUUUUUUUAAAUAAAGUCUUAAAAUGGAAUAUUUUAGAAAAUCAUGGCAACA